CCCUUAGAUGUUCUGGGCAGCACGCGCGCUACAAUGGUCUUCGCAAACGGAUGCAUUCUCGAAGGAGACUGCCAAUCUUGGAAUCUAUGCCUUGGUCGGGACAGUUGCUUGCAAUUUUUCGACUCGAACCAGGAAUUCCUUGUAAUCGUGAUUCAUCACAUCACGAUGAAUACGUCCCUGCCCUUUGUACACACCGCCCGUCGCUCCUACCGAUCGAAGAGUUAGGUGAAUUGUUUUGAUCGAUAAGAUUUGACUAUGGUCAACUCUCGUUGUGAAAUUCUGUGAAUCUGACUGUUUAGAGGAAGGAAAAGUCGUAACA
rnacentral:rRNA from 1 species